GACGAACGCUGGCGGCGUGCCUAAUACAUGCAAGUUGAGCGCUGAAGGUUGGUACUUGUACCAACUGGAUGAGCAGCGAACGGGUGAGUAACGCGUGGGGAAUCUGCCUUUGAGCGGGGGACAACAUUUGGAAACGAAUGCUAAUACCGCAUAAAAACUUUAAACACAAGUUUUAAGUUUGAAAGAUGCAAUUGCAUCACUCAAAGAUGAUCCCGCGUUGUAUUAGCUAGUUGGUGAGGUAAAGGCUCACCAAGGCGAUGAUACAUAGCCGACCUGAGAGGGUGAUCGGCCACAUUGGGACUGAGACACGGCCCAAACUCCUACGGGAGGCAGCAGUAGGGAAUCUUCGGCAAUGGACGAAAGUCUGACCGAGCAACGCCGCGUGAGUGAAGAAGGUUUUCGGAUCGUAAAACUUUGUUGGUAGAGAAGAACGUUGGUGAGAGUGGAAAGCUCAUCAAGUGACGGUAACUACCCAGAAAGGGACGGCUAACUACGUG
rnacentral:rRNA from 1 species